UAUUGCACUGGAUUCUGUGGGAGGAUAGAGGAUACCUUGUAAGGCUCCUUUGCAGACAUUGGUGAGCACUGCAGGGCAUUUGUUGGUGCUGUUACAAUAAUGAGUGCCUGACCCCAGUGGCAAGGCUUCCAGAUUCUUCUGAAUCAAACCCUUUAUGUCCAACCGAAUCCACCUGGAAAACACGCAAGAGUGAGUUCCUAGAACGUCAAAAUGAAGGAGCAGACCUCUGCAUGCCGUCACCAGACACCACAGAAACAUCCUGAUACCUCUGAAGAGAGCCAGGCAAUG
rnacentral:lncRNA from 1 species